AAGUCGUAACAAGGUUUCCGUAGGUGAACCUGCGGAAGGAUCAUUAACACGUAGUUGCUUUUCAACCCCUGUGAACUUGUCUGGAAGGUGUGCGAGCUUUGAUGGCCUAAAUCAGCCGCCGUAUGUUGACUAGGCUGUUGCCAAGUGUUUGCGCGGUCUGCGUGACUUCGCUACACAAGGCAUCUCCACACUGAGUACGGCCCCCCUUUUUUGUCGUUUACUAAAUGAACUAAAUGUUACGGAUGGAACCAAGGGACUGCGGUUCUUUGGCAUCGUCUGAUUAGCAAACUGUUACAACUCUUAGCAACGGAUAUCUUGGCUCUC
rnacentral:misc_RNA from 1 species